rnacentral:rRNA from 1 species
UACGGGGGGGGCAAGCGUUGUUCGGAAUUACUGGGCGUAAAGGGCUCGUAGGCGGCCAACUAAGUCAGACGUGAAAUCCCUCGGCUUAACCGGGGAACUGCGUCUGAUACUGGAUGGCUUGAGUUUGGGAGAGGGAUGCGGAAUUCCAGGUGUAGCGGUGAAAUGCGUAGAGAUCGGGAGGAACACCAGAGGCGAAGGCGGCGACCUGGACAGGUACUGACACUCAACUACGAAAGCGUGGGGAGCAAACAGG